rnacentral:rRNA from 1 species
CCUACGGGAGACAGCAGUGAGGAAUAUUGGUCAAUGGACGAGAGUCUGAACCAGCCAAGUAGCGUGAAGGAUGACUGCCCUAUGGGUUGUAAACUUCUUUUAUAUGGGAAUAAAACGUUCCACGUGUGGGAUUUUGUAUGUACCAUAUGAAUAAGGAUAGGCUAACUCCGUGCCAGCAGCCGCGGUAAUACGGAGGAUCCGAGCGUUAUCCGGAUUUAUUGGGUUUAAAGGGGGCGUAGGUGGAUUGUUAAGUCAGUUGUGAAAGUUUGCGGCUCAACCGUAAAAUUGCAGUUGAAACUGGCAGUCUUGAGUACAGUAGAGGUGGGCGGAAUUCGUGGUGUAGCGGUGAAAUGCUUAGAUAUCACGAAGAACUCCGAUUGCGAAGGCAGUUCACUGGACUGCAACUGACACUGAGGCUCGAAAGUGUGGGUAUCAAACAGGAUUAGAUACCCUUGUAGUC